UUCGGGGUGUAAACCACUGUUGCCCGGGACGAACAGCUCGAUUUCUCGAGCCUGACGGUACCGGGUGAGGAAGCACCGGCUAACUCCGUGCCAGCAGCCGCGGUAAUACGGGGGGUGCGAGCGUUGUCCGGAAUCACUGGGCGUAAAGGGCGCGUAGGUGGUUUGAUAAGGGUGUGGUGAAAGUCCGGGGCUCAACCCCGGAUCUGCCGUGCCGACUGUCAAACUCGAGGGCUGUAGAGGCAGACGGAAUUCCGGGUGUAGCGGUGGAAUGCGUAGAGAUCCGGAGGAAGACCGGUGGCGAAGGCGGUCUGCUGGGCAGUUUCUGACACUGAUGCGCGACAGCGUGGGGAGCAAACAGGAUUAGAUACCCUGGUAGUCCACGCCGUAAACGAUGGGUACUAGGUGCCUGGGGGAGCGACCCUCUGGGUGCCGGCGCUAACGCAGGAAGUACCCCGCCUGGGGAGUACGACCGCAAGGUUGAAACUUAAAGGAAUUGACGGA
rnacentral:rRNA from 1 species